rnacentral:rRNA from 1 species
AAACCUGGCGGCGUGCCUAAUCAUGCAAGUCGAGCGAACCCUUCGGUGGUGAGCGGCGAACGGGUGAGUAACACGUAGGUGAUCUGCCCAUCAGACGGGGACAACGAUUGGAAACGAUCGCUAAUACCGGAUAGGACGAAAGUUUAAAGGUGCUCCUGGCACCGCUGAUGGAUGAGCCUGCGGCGCAUUAGCUAGUUGGUAGGGUAAAGGCCUACCAAGGCGACGAUGCGUAGCCGACCUGAGAGGGUGAACGGCCACACUGGGACUGAGACACGGCCCAGACUCCUACGGGAGGCAGCAGUAGGGAAUCUUCGGCAAUGGGCGAAAGCCUGACCGAGCAACGCCGCGUGAAUGAUGAAGGCCUUCGGGUUGUAAAAUUCUGUUAUAAGGGAAGAACGACUUUAGUAGGAAAUGGCUAAAGUGUGACGGUACCUUAUGAGAAAGCCACGGCUAACUACGUGCCAGCAGCCGCGGUAAU